rnacentral:lncRNA from 1 species
GCUUGAUGUCUCCUUUAAACUGCAGUGAGGUCACAUGCCUGUGUUAGUGACAUAGCAGGUUGCCAUGGAGAUAAAGCUUUAUCAGCAACUCUGUCUUACCAUGACUUCACAGCAAGGUCACCAUGAAGCAGAUGGGAUGUGAAGGAGA